UGCCAGCAGCCGCGGUAAUACAGAGGGUGCGAGCGUUAAUCGGAAUUACUGGGCGUAAAGGGCACGUAGGCGGCAUAAUAAGUCAGAUGUGAAAACCCUGGGCUCAACCUGGGAAUGGCAUUUGAAACUAUUAAGCUAGAGUACAGUAGAGGGCAGUGGAAUUUCCGGUGUAGCGGUGAAAUGCGUAGAUAUCGGAAGGAACACCAGUGGCGAAGGCGACUGUCUGGACUGAUACUGACGCUGAGGUGCGAAAGCGUGGGGAGCGAACAGGAUUAGAUA
rnacentral:rRNA from 1 species